AAUCAUAAUCCUAACAAUUGGUAUCAGAGCCACCCUUCAUUUUUGGUUAAUUUGGAUGUUCAUAAGAUUCAUGUUAUGUUAGGAUUCAUGUUUAAGUUUAAUUAGAAUUUUGUUUAUGAAAUUAUACCAUGAAAUAGCAUGAUCUUAUGAAUGUUAUGUUUUGAUGUAAUUUGAUGUAUUAAUAUCAUGUUAAAACAUUGUAAAUAGCAUGAUUUUAGUUGGUUAACAACAUGUUUUUUAUGUUUAAGAUUCAUGUUGAAAAUCAUGUGUUAUUCAGAAA
rnacentral:lncRNA from 1 species